UACGGGGGGGGCAAGCGUUUGUUCGGAAUUACUGGGCGUAAAGGGCUCGUAGGCGGCCAACUAAGUCAGACGUGAAAUCCCUCGGCUUAACCGGGGAACUGCGUCUGAUACUGGAUGGCUUGAGUUCGGGAGAGGGAUGCGGAAUUCCAGGUGUGGCGGUAGAAAUGCGUAGAUAUCUGGAGGAACACCGGUGGCGAAGGCGGCAUCCUGGACCGACACUGACGCUGAGGAGCGAAAGCUAGGGGAGCAAACGGGG
rnacentral:rRNA from 1 species